GGUGGCUUCGUAUAGUGGUGAGUACAACACGUUGUGGUUAGUUACAAAGACAAUACCAUACUUGUACCGUGUAAACCUGGGUUCGAUUCCCAGAGCCGCCA